rnacentral:rRNA from 1 species
AUUGAACGCUGGCGGCAGGCCUAACACAUGCAAGUCGAGCGGAUGAAGGGAGCUUGCUCCUGGAUUCAGCGGUGGACGGGUGAGUAAUGCCUAGGAAUCUGCCUGGUAGUGGGGGAUAACGUCCGGAAACGGGCGCUAAUACCGCAUACGUCCUGAGGGAGAAAGUGGGGGAUCUUCGGACCUCACGCUAUCAGAUGAGCCUAGGUCGGAUUAGCUAGUUGGUGGGGUAAAGGCCUACCAAGGCGACGAUCCGUAACUGGUCUGAGAGGAUGAUCAGUCACACUGGAACUGAGACACGGUCCAGACUCCUACGGGAGGCAGCAGUGGGGGAUAUUGGACAAUGGGCGAAAGCCUGAUCCAGCCAUGCCGCGUGUGUGAAGAAGGUCUUCGGAUUGUAAAGCACUUUAAGUUGGGAGGAAGGGCAGUAAGUUAAUACCUUGCUGUUUUGACGUUACCAACAGAAUAAGCACCGGCUAACUUCGUG